UUAAAUUGAAGAGUUUGAUCAUGGCUCAGAUUGAACGCUGGCGGCAGGCCUAACACAUGCAAGUCGAACGGUAACACAGAGAGCUUGCUCUCGGG
rnacentral:rRNA from 1 species